GCGCAGGGGCGGUGCGCGCGCCGGUUUCCUGCUUUUUGCUGGUUACCGCUGGUUCUAGGUGUCAGGGGCUCGGGAGCUUUUCCUUUUAACGGGGCCGUCCCCAGACUUCUCUGUCUGCCUGGAGCCAAGUCCCAGUGGCCGUUAGGGGUCUAUCACGGGAGACCUGUUUUUGCGUGCGUGGGUGGAGGCGAGUCCUGCACCUCUCAGACCUUCAGGAGGGCCCGGGUUCACACUGACAAGUGAAGAUAAACACCUGAUCUGCGGGGUCUGCGUACUAACACUGAACGUAGCUCAGAUUCAGUGCGUCUCAAACCAGCAUCAGCAUCAUCUGGAAAUUUGUUAAAAAUGCAAGGUCUUGGGCAACAACCCAAAAAUAGGGACUCAGAAAUUCUGCGGGUGGGGCCGAGCCUUCUGUGUGUGAACAAGGUCUCCAGGAGAUUCAGUUUGAGAAUAGGGACUCUUGGUAGGUAACAGGGCACACACGUAUUUGCUGCUGGAUACUUCAGAGCCUGCAGCAGCAGCAACACCACCGUCUUCACAAGUCCCGCUGUGGGAGGGCAAAUCCGAGACACCUUUCUAUAGGGUAACUCGGGAUGUUUGUCAAAAUAAUGACUCUCUCAUUCAGCAAGUAACAGCAUAGGUGAUGGUGAUCAUGUUUACAUGAAAGCACAGUUUUUACCAUUUGGCUAAUUUAUUUUAUUAUUUAAAAUACAUCAUAGAAAAAAUACAUCAUGCAGGAGCGUUUCGUAAACAACAGGUAGGCCUAUUGUGCCAGGGACGGAUUCUUCCAGGCCGCAUGAUUCAACAUUUGAGAACCUCAGGGUUAAAUGUCCGCAAGCAUGAGGGGACGUAAUGGAAACGACAUGGUUUCAAGUCCAUUCUAUAAGGUGCUAUGUCAUUACUCAUGUCGAAUUCUCAGGCGUUAAAGAAUAAAUUAUUCAAGACACUUGCUGAGGAAUGAAAAGGAAGACUCGUUCCCAGGCCCUAUUGUGCUAGGUAUAGGGACCACCGCAACAGGUGCUUGUAGUGAGAGAGAGAGAGAUUGAGAUCAACUCCAGGUAGAACAAGGAAUAGUGGGAAUUUAUAGCCAAGGAACAGGUGGGGGCUAGGGGAUGGGUUCUGGCUGAACUCACCUAACAGGAUUCUUGCUGAAGGCAGGUUAGGAUGGUGAGCUGUCACCUGGGAGGUGUAGGGGAAUGAGGGACCCGAUCAGAAGUCACCAGUGAUCAGAUAUGGAGGGUUGUUCUGGUCAAACUGACUUUGGGAUUCUUGCUGCAAUGCAGAGAGGAACAUGGAAUUCUGGAAGUCAGGGCCUCGUUGAGAAGAGAAUUCAGAAGUAGAGGUUGAUCAAGGAGAAUAUCUUUGUCACAGGAACGAGCACUCCCCCCUCUCCUGACUACCCUGUGGCAUUCCGAGCAGCCAGAUCCAGGUACAAAUAUCUGAUUGCGAGACAUCCCAGCUUCAUGUCCAUCGGCUGGAGGUUACCAGGCCUUGUCUUCGCAAGACUCAGUCAGCCGGCUGCCUGAACCUGCAGCCCACCAGGGAGCACUAAUUCCUGGAGAGGUGGGAACCGAGGUCCAAGGAAGCCAUACCAGAACAAGGCACAAAAUGAAGACAUAAUGAAGACACAAUUUCACAGUCGCUUCUGUCCAUUUUUCAUUGCCCCAAACUCACUUAUGUGGUCCAAAUUAAAGAGUUUACAAGUGUGACGUGAGCAGAGGAUAUGUCAAGAAAAGUGUGAGGACAGAGGAUCAGAUCUACAGUGCUGCUGUUUGCAGGAUCAGCAGAAUCCUUGAAGGGAAUCAACCCAGAGCAGACGCCGAGGACGUUGUGCGUACCAGAGGCGCAGGCCUCUGCAUCACCGGGAAUGGACCAGAUUUGAGAGGGUGGCUCUCUAGGCCUUGUCCUCCUCUGGAGCACCACUUUCUAAGAUGGCGCCGGACUCCUAGUAGAUACUCAGUGAAUAUUUGUG